UACGAAGGGGGCUAGCGUUGUUCGGAAUCACUGGGCGUAAAGGGCGCGUAGGCGGCUGUUCAAGUCGGGGGUGAAAGCCUGUGGCUCAACCACAGAAUUGCCUUCGAUACUGGACGGCUGGAGACCGGAAGAGGUCAGUGGAACUGCGAGUGUAGAGGUGAAAUUCGUAGAUAUUCGCAAGAACACCAGUGGCGAAGGCGGCUGACUGGUCCGGUUCUGACGCUGAAAUACGAAAGCGUGGGGAGCAAACAGG
rnacentral:rRNA from 1 species